AUUCCGAUCGUUCAUAAAGCGAAAAUGUUUGACGCUUUUUGCGGGCAAGGGGGUAGUAAAUGCUCUUAUUGCAAUAUUCUGUCCUCGCGCUUGUUCCAUCGUUGCUGAAGUGCUUUCUGUCGAUUAAACAUAAUAAUAAAUGCCGCACUGCGGAUCAUUUAAUUGUCCCCAACCGAGUUUUUUUUUUUUCUGUCGCAAUCGUGCCCAAUCUUUUGCGCAACGAAGUGGUGGGGAAAAAAAAUAAUUCUCUGUAAAAUAAAAACAAUAGUUGAUAAUUCCGAUAUUAAUUCCAAGUCACGUACACCAAUUUCAUCUAUAACGAUGUCUACGUAUGUUUUUUUUAUUGGAAGUAAUUGUGUAUUUGAAUUUCUGGUUAGAGAACGCUGAUGCGUGUGUAGUAUCCAGGAAUAUCGUAAUGCAGUCACUUCUCGAACCUGAUACAUCAACGGAAAAUGAAAAUAGUAAAGCAGAUGGGAAAAUUAAAGCAUUCACAUUUGUGUUUACGAAUAAACUGUGGUCCUAGUGCUGUGGUGGAGUAUAACAGGAUCGUGUGAUGAAACAGCAGCUGAAAUUUUUUCAAAAUGUUAAUGGUGAAGUGUUUUAUGAGCGAAAAUGUGCUGAUGGUUUUAAUCAUACUAGAAAUGCUCGUCAUUUAUUCUGACAGUCAUCAAUAAUUCUCGUGACAUUCGCUGGAAGAAUGAAGAGGACAAGAAUUUUGAGGAAUAUGUUCUUGAAGUUAGAGUGAGUCAACUUGAGGGCAAUUUAGAAAGAUAAAUAUUUAUUGAGGAUUUACCGUCAUUUGUUGCUAAAUGUUCGUGUGCCAUUGACGUGAAGUCGUGACUGGGAAAAAAUCCAGUGUUGGCCUGGGUAACAUCCAGAAAAGUCGUGACACUGUCACCCUUGGAGCAUGAUCCAUUAAAGAGCAAUAAAAAUAGAGAACAAAAAUGGGGAUGAAACCGUUGACAUUUGCAUUACCGAAUAAUUGAUAUUUCCAUCGCUACGGAAAAAUAUGACAGACUCUAUGACGACGUGUGUCAACCUUAGCUUCUCGCCUCAUUGCAUCGAUAUAUCGAUGUGACGCCCAGAUGUCAACGCGAUAUUAUCGUGCAUUCAUCACGGAAUCGUAAAUGCAUCGGAGGCCAGAUUGUUUUUGACACGCCAUUUGUUCCGGAAUGUUCGACUGACGCUGAAGGUUGGAAGAAGAAUGUGAAUUCCGGAAGUAAAAGAGGAUUUUAAUAUUUUUUCAAGUGAGAAAACCGAAGUCUAUGGCGAAUCGCAAAAAAAAGAUUUGGGAAAAAAAAAUUGGAAAAGAUCAGAAUAUUUUUGUAGAAGUUUCACCCGAAAUAUGCGGCUCUUGGAGAAUCUCAUAAGGUUAAAAUGCUAAUUAGAACGUUUUUUUUUCAUUAAUUUAUUGAAGAUGAAUGGAAGUGCGUCCCUCACGUUUUCGAAAAUUUCGAGGAAUAUUUUUGAGAAAAAAAAAUGUCAUUCUAGAAUGGGAUAAGUCCACUCAACUCUGGAAUGAGUGUCAGAUGAGUAUCUCUAAAUCCACUAGAUAGCAGGAUUUUCAUGAGAAUAUUCUCUCGUCUGUAGGGAAAACGUAAAUGAGUACAGCUUUACUUCAAGCAUUUUUCCGAAAAUUUAAUUGAUCUUUUGUGUUUGAGCGGAUUAUUUUUCACACGUCCGUUCUUUCGUGAUCUUCGGAUAAUAUUGAAAAUUGAGGAAAGAACUUCAAUGCGUUGAGUAAAAAGUGAUUCGCUUUAUUUUAUAAUGAAAAAAUGAAAAGAUGUUCUAAAGUGCUGCUAAAAGUUUCAAAACAUUAAAUACUUUUGGGAAAACGUUUACGGUAUUUUUAAUAAUAAUGAAGACCUUCUCUUUUAUGAAGAAAUAGAAAAGCUGAAAUACAUCAAGUUUUCAUUUACGAUUAAAAACAAAAUGUGACCCCGUAUUCGGGCUCGUUUCACCCUACGAUCUCUAGGAGUCGAAAAAUCCGCCAAAAAAGUAGAUAUGGACCCUAUAAUAUUCCCAGGGCCCUAUAAAAGUCCUAAAUCGCGUCAGAAAUCCAACGACAUUGAAAUUAUAACGCUGAACCAAUUAUUUUUCGAGAUAUCUGUGAAUAACCCAAGUUAUCUCGCAUUCCAUCCCU